GAUAUCAUGGAUAAUUGAUCUCUAUUAUGGUUUUAAGAAUUUUUUUUAAAAAAAAAGUUACCCAUGUAGCUUAGCAACAUUAAAUUGUAUAAUAUUUCAAAUAACCAUAUAGACUUUAUUGGAAGAGUGAUGAGCACAAUCACAAACUCAAAUACCACUGCUUUGAUAGAAUAUGAUGCUCAUAGAAAAUACUUGGAGUGGGAUGAAAAUUGAAUAAUACUCUGAUAUUAUAGAAUCAUAGAUUACUCCACACUAC
rnacentral:lncRNA from 1 species